AUUGAACGCUGGCGGCAGGCCUAACACAUGCAAGUCGAACGAGUGGCGGACGGGUGAGUAAUGUCUGGGAAACUGCCUGAUGGAGGGGGAUAACUACUGGAAAUGGUAGCUAAUACCGCAUACCAUCGGAUGUGCCCAGAUGGGAUUAGCUAGUGGGUGGGGUAACGGCUCACCUAGGCGACGAUCCCUAGCGUGUCUGAGAGGAUGACGAGCCACACUGGAACUGAGACACGGUCCAGCCUCCUACGGGAGGCAGCAGUGGGGAAUAUCGCACAAGGGGCGAAAGCCUGAUGCAGACAUGCCGGGUGUAUGAAGAAGGCCUUCGGGUGGUAAAGUACUUUCAGCGGGGAGGCGUUACCCGAAGAAGAAGCACCGGCUAACUCCGUGCCAGCAGCCGCGGUAAUUC
rnacentral:rRNA from 1 species